rnacentral:rRNA from 1 species
CCUACGGGUGGCAGCAGUGGGGCAUAUUGCACAAUGGGGGAAACCCUGAUGCAGCGACGCCGCGUGAGUGAAGAAGUAUUUCGGUAUGUAAAGCUCUAUCAGCAGGGAAGAAAAAAGACGGUACCUGACUCAGAAGCCACGGCUAACUACGUGCCAGCAGCCGCAGUAAUACGUAGGGGGCAAGCGUUAUCCGGAUGUAUUGGGUUUAAAGGGUGCACAGGCGGCAUGUCAAGUCAGCGGUAAAAUUUCGGGGCUCAACCCCGUCGUGCCGUGGAAACUGGCGUUCUUGAGUGAGCGAGUAGGAUGCGGAAUGCGUGGUGUAGCGGUGAAAUGCAUAGAUAUCACGCAGAACUCCGAUUGCGAAGGCAGCAUACCGGCGCUCAACUGACGCUCAUGCACGAAAGCGUGGGUAUCGAACAGGAUUAGAUACCCUAGUAGUC